UAGAUGCAAGACUGGAUUGGGGGGAGG
rnacentral:sRNA from 1 species